ACGCCAGCUGCUAAGCGGAGGGAGGAUGUCUGGGUCGCGCGCAGAGGCCGAGGAGAAGGUGGGCUCCAGACAGCGACUCCAGGUGAAUGAAUAUAAGGAAAACCAAAACAUCGCUUAUGUGUCUCUGAGACCAGUACAGACUACAGUUUUAGGAAAAACAGCUAAGGUGUAUCUUGUUCCCUUUUCACUCAGUAGCUACAAGCCAGAUCAACUUAAGCGCUCCAAAUCCCUAUUAGAUAAGAAUUCUAACAAUGAAGUGGCAUGUAAGAAAUGUAAGAAGGCUGAAAUAAAGAAAACUUGCAGAAGGAUUUUAACCCCAAAGAUGGAAGCCACAUCUUCCAAGGCAGAAUCCACUCUGCAAAAAUCAUCCUUAGAUGUUCAUGCUGAAAGUAACAAGUGGCAAUACAAGAGCACUUCAGAUACAGUGAUUCUCAGUGCUGAUACAGAAAGCAGCCAGGAUGGAGACAGUGAUGAAGGUACCACACCAGGCAUGGAUGAUUUUUCAGGAUUGUCACCAUACGAAAAGAAGAGACUGAAGAACAUAUCAGAAAAUGCAAACUUUUUUGCUUCUCUUCAGUUGUCUGAGUCAGCUGCAAGACUCCGUGAAAUGAUAAAGAAGAGACAGCCUCCUGAAUCCAAAAGGUUGGACAAGAUGGCAAGAGUGGGCUGCUGUUGGGUAUUUCCCUUCCCCAGAAAGAAGCCUAAGAAGAAAGAAAAUGAGACUGGAUGUAGAAGGUCAAUGCGAUUACUAAAAGUCGAUCCUUCAGGAGUUUCAUUACCAGCAACUCCAACCCAGCCAAUAUUAGUAGCAGAUGAAAAUCCUUUGUUACCUCCUGGACCUUUAGAAAUGACUUCUGAAAAUCGAGAUGAUAACAGUGAACUAUUUAAAGGAUUUCUGCAGACUUGGGCAGAAGUGAGCAAGACAAGAAGUAAAAACACCGAGAAGGAGUUAUCUAGCAUUAAAAGCUACAAAGCCAAUUUAAAUGGCAUGAUCAUUAGUGAAGAUACUGUUUAUAAAGUUACCAAAGGCCCAAUAUUCUCAAUGGCUCUCCACCCAUCAGAAAUUAGAACUUUGGUGGCAGCUGGGGCCAGAUCUGGACAAGUUGGGCUUUGGGAUUUGACUCACCAACCUAAAGAAGAUGGAGUUCAUAUUUUUCAACCCCAUAGUCAACCAGUUAGCUGUCUUUACUUCUCGCCUGCCAAUCCAGCUCACCUGCUGUCACUGAGCUAUGAUGGCACAUUACGCUGUGGGGAUUUUUCCAGAGCUGUUUUUGAGGAGGUAUAUAGAGAUGAAAGAAGUAGCUUUUCCUCCUUUGACUUCUUGGCAGAAGACGCCUCCACUUUAAUAGUAGGUCACUGGGAUGGAAGUAUGUCACUAGUGGAUAGGCGGACGCCUGGAACUUCUUGUGAGAAACUUAUCAAUUCUUCUUUGAGCAAAAUAAGAACUGUACAUGUCCACCCAGUGCAUAGACAGUAUUUUAUCACUGCGGGAUUAAGGGAUAUUCAUAUUUAUGAUGCAAGGUUCCUGAAUCGCAGUAGAAUCAAGCCUUUGAUUUCUUUGACUGAACACACAAAGAGCAUCGCUUCUGCCUAUUUUUCACCUCUUACUGGUAACAGAGUAGUAACCACAUGUGCUGAUUGUAAGCUGAGAAUCUUUGACAGCAGCUGUAUAUCCUCAAAGAUUCCUCUUCUCACCACCAUCAGGCACAACACCAUUACUGGGAGAUGGCUGACCAGGUUCCAAGCUGUGUGGGACCCUAAACAAGAAGACUGUAUCAUAGUCGGCAGUAUGGCCCAUCCACGGCGAGUGGAAAUCUUCCAUGAGAGAGGAAAGUGGCCCCAUUGAUCUGCCGGGAAAGCAGCAUCAGCUCCAGGCUGUGCUCGGCCACAGGGGUGGGCAGCACGCUGUCUGCAGGGCUGUAGGCCUCAUCCGCGAUCACGGCGACUCGCUCAUUGCUGUCUGCCCGGCUGCUUCUCACGUGAGGCAGGAAAGUGUCCCCGUGGGAGGAGGGCUCAAAGUUCUAGUAGGGAAGAACAGGAGCUGGUUACCCCCCUCAACCAAACAGCAGCCACCCAGGCCAGAGGAUGUCAGAGCUGAGUCACCAAGUGUGGCCCAUGUCAUAGUGCUCCCAAGGAAAUGGCUUCUUGUUUUCAAGUUCAGUGUCUGUAUUUUCUACUCCUGGCCAUAUUGGUGGUUCCAGAGUGGCUUUCCCUGCUUUUGUGGUCCACAUCAAGAGAAGCUCGUCCCCUUCUGUUGCUCUGAAAUCGACCCUGACUGCCCCAGACAGCUGGACACCCAGCUAGUAAAGGUAAGACCUAACCAGGGCCAAUUACGGAGUUUUCUGGUUCUGGGCUGGCUUCAGAAGCCCCAAGGUCUCUUUUAAAAGGUGCCAGUAACAUUUCAGAAAUAGUGUAUCUCGUCUUCCUUGGCUUCCUUGGUAGGUAGCCAGUUGCAGCCAGGCCGCCUGCCUGCCCAGCCUGCUGUAGCCCGUCUCGGCAUACACACAGUAAAAGAUUCUCCAUAGGAACGAACCCUGGGUUACGAACGAGUGGCUGGCAUGGGCAGGGGAGGUGGCAGCCCCCUGCUAUCCGCCUCUGCUCCCCACCACCUCACCAUUAGUAUAUUAGCAGCAGCUCUCAGCUCCUGCUUUCAGAAGCUGCACGGUCCUGGCUGUAUUUCCUUUGUCCCUAUGCUAUAAGAUACUUAAAUUUGUAUAAUGUUUAAAACUUUUUAAAGCGCUUCCAUUUUAUCUUUAAACAACUUCAUGAAGUGGUGAGGGCAAGAGGUUACAGUCACGUGGUUGGUUGUUACUGGCAAAGACAAGGGUAGAAUCCAAGCCUCUUUCUAUUCCAUGGUGCUAAUGAUCAUGCAGCUGGAUUCCGGGGAGUGGAACAACAGGCCAGGAUGAAUUAAGUCAACAGCCUGCACCUGCCUUAGACUUAGGUCCCAAUUGCCCAAGAAACUGUUGUGAAAUAAGGUGAAAUUAAGAGCCUGUCCCUUGUUCCAGAGCCUUUGAUGUUCCUCUGUUCUCUGUUUUCCCCAGUGUUCCUCCCUUCUUCCCUCAUUUGCAUGUGUGUAGCAUGAGAAACACGUACCUGGGAGUGUGAAAUGGGUUUCGGAUAAAACAAACCUUUCCAGGCUCUGAUCUUACAUGUUGCUGGCUCAGCUCCUUUCCCAAGUACUCUUCUGGCUCCCUGUUCUCUGGAACCUCAGCCCUGUUGCACAGGGCACCUCACACCCUUUCAAGGGCUGUCCCCUCACAAGGACAGCUCUGACUACCAGAUCUUCCAAUGUAUGACCAGCAUAGCUGCCGGAAGCCACUUAGUGCAAUCAUAGCCUGGCCUACAAUUCAGCCCCAAGCCUGCUGGGGAAGGUGAGGGGCAAAGGCUGUGACAUCAGAAAGAGCUAAUCAGUGGGACACCAGAAGCCACAUUACAGUGAGUUGUUGGUGCUCUCAGUAAACAAGAUAAUGGCUACAUAUGUAUUUCUAAGUAGAGAGCCUGACAAACAAAAUUACUCAGUAAAUGUUAGUCUUCUGUUCCCCCAACAGACCUCACCUAUAAAGUUAAGGUUAUUCCUAUGCUAGGUUAGUCCUGUACAGAAUUUCAGGUUUCACUAGAAACCACCACUCGCCUCAAACCUGUUAUUCUGGGAUGGCUGGGGUGGGUGCCGUGGGUGGGAUCUGGGUGAGUGGCACAGCAAAACAGAGGGUGUCUUUUUACCUUGGAGGUGCUCCAGCUGAUCGCCUUGCCCAGAGGUGGCUCCCAGUGGGCCAGCGGGCACAGUGGUCAGGAGCCUACCCUGGAGCCGGGGCCCCAUCCUCAGGAUGCGCACACUCAGGGGCCGAAGGCAGUGAUUAGUCAACCGGAGCUGAACUCGGACUCUGGUGUGAAUCUUAAUCAGACUCUUCCCCAUAGUGGCCCAGGAAGGCAGGUACUUCUUCAGUGGAAAUCAGCUGAUCUCUUCAUGGGAACCAGCCAGGCGGGGAAGGUACAGAGGGAAAGGAUGGGAAACCAACUGAUCUCACGCCAUGGCAGCCCUUUCGCAGUGCCUCCCAUGCUGGAGAGAAAAGGUUGGCUCUGAGAGUCUCAGAGCAGACUGAGCUGCAGGGAAAGAGCAGCUCUGAGAGGCCAGCGUUAUCAGGGGACUGGAUUCAGUCAGAAGGACUUACAGCUAUAAAAGGUAAUGGUUUCCCAGCCAGUAGCUGUUUCCCUGAGGCCCGUAUAAGGGCCCCAGACCUCUCAGAGGGUGAGGAACAGAGAGGGCAGGGAAUAAUCCCAGAGAGUAGGGGAAAUCGGGACUGUACCAGAAAAUCCAGGAUGUGAAGCUACAAAGAAAAUGGCUUUGGGUUGGGUGGCUCUGAAGUGUAAGGCGGUGGCUCUGGGGCUGGAAAUGGGCUGCGUCCCCUCCUCCACUGGGAUCUACGCUAUUUGUCUGGCUGCCCCAUGGGGCACAAUGGGUGAAAGGAACUGACAUACCUGAAUGUCCUCUCUGCGUCAGGCCUGUGCUAAUAACAUGUGUUAUCUUGGCAUCCCCUAGAGCAGAGAGCAGGGCCAACCAAUGCAGUCUUCUUUUUAAGGGUCUCAGUUCAUUGAGAUUACAUGGUUUCAUUCAAACUGUAACGUUACGUUAAUGUUUUUUGCAAUUUUCCCCACUGUUUUUGGAGAUAGCAAACAAAGCUUUCCCCUGGAAAAGGCAAAUGGUUUCUGUGAUAUUAAUUUAUGUGCCAUAUGGACUAUAGGAAAGACAAUCCCUGAUGGAGCGUGAACGAAUUUCAAAUGUCCAUAACUUCCUGGGCGUUUUGAUGGUUUGUGUCCUUCCUCUGAGGUCCCCAUUGAGUCCCUCUCACCCUUCCCUGCCUGGUUGGGGUGAACAGUGAGGGUCAGCCGUGUUAGGUGCUUUAAAGGCAAAACCCCCUCUUGAGAGAUGAUGCAGCUGAACUCUCACCUCCUGAAAUAAUCCAUUCUUUAUUUCCCCAGGCUUGAUGAUCCCUGCACUGAUAGAGCUGCUCAACUGCUAAAAUCUUGUAUUUUUUUUCAUAUCCAAACCAGAUGUACAUCUGCCUCUCCUCACCCUGAAUUACAUUCUGCCUGUGAGUUUCAUUCCUGCCAGGGCAGUUCUGAGCUUCUACCCACGCCCUUCUGAGUCUAAUGGGCCUCGAGGGCCAUGACCAAGGAUGAAGACUGUGCUUGUCUAUAGGCACCACUGGGCAUGGGGUGUAAGGAGCACGUUGGCUUGGGGAGUAGCACGUGGAGGCCUGCUGUGUUAUAAUCUGCCAGGUGUGAAGUUCUGAGCCUAAGCUUUUGAGGCCGUGCCCUGGCCCUGGGGUGGGGGUGGGGUCUCUGCUCUAAUAGCUUUCUGCACCCUCCCCUGGCAUUUUGUAAGCAUGGGUGACAGUUUUGGAUGUUGAGGAGCCUACUGCUGCUACAAUGGGAGAAGACAGGUUCUGGGAGGAGGCUGAAGGCACAGCCAGAACUGGUUGGGAACUGAGGCAGCCUCACAGCUCGUCUUGGGGGAGCUUGAGGAUGGUUCUCCCCACCUCUGAGUUGUUUUGCUAACCCUGCUUGGCAGCUACUCCAAAUGAGUUAUAUCCCCACAUGGAUGGCCUCAGUCUUCCCUCUUCUGGGAGUGCUGGUUUUACUGGACAUUCUUCCAUAUGCUGGGGAGCAGUAAUGCCUGAGGCUGCUCUCCUAUGCGAUACCUGCAUUAGGGCCAGCUUCCCCCAGGGGCUGGCCUUUUCUCUGGGAGGACAGCUGUCCCGACUUUCUGCAAGAGCCUUGGGAUGAACCUGGUGGCUUCAGCCUCAGGACAGACGGGAACAAGGGCCACAGAGAGGGGAGAAAGUUAUGCUUCCUCAAAAGAGGAGAAGACAGUCCACUUUCCUGAGAUGCACACCCCAAAAUAAGAGAGCUGGGCUCACUUCUCCCGCUCAGCCUAAGAUAGGAGGGAAAACCAGGGGGCUGUGUCUGAUGAUGGCCAGACCUCAAUAAUUCCAUACCUUGCAUAGCCAUUAUACUUGGGAGUUUCCAAGGCACCUUCCCCCACCCCCCACCCCUUUCUACAGUGGGGGCAACAGGCUCAGAGAGGUUAAGCAACCUGCCCAGAAAAUGUGUGGCAGAGCUCCUAUUUUGACCUCAUCCUUGACUUCCUGACCAGGGCUCUUUGCAUUGUGCUUGCUGCCUACCCAGUAAAUGCUUUCAUCUCUUUAAAGUACUUGCAUGUACAUCAGCUUCCUUGAAAUCCAUGGGGUUUUACAAAUGGAGCAACUAAGGUACUCACAUAAAUAAGGCCUUUGAUGGUGGUUCUCUCCCAAAGGUUUAGUCUAAUACUCUCAGAUCUACAAACCCCUCCUGGACCACAGCUCAUCAGGGCUGGAUGGGAUUACCCUUCACCUGACACCCAGCUGGUGUUCCCAUUGACUGGAUGAAACAUUCUCCCUACCAUUGGAGAAACUUGCUGCUGUCUCUAGUGAAAUUCACUUCUUUUCAAGGUCCCUGUGAGGAACCGGUCCAGGUGACAACUUGGAGGAACCCCAGGUCCUCUCCAGAGCUCAUGCUCACCUUCCAUGAUGGAGAUGUGAACAGCUCUUCUCCGGGUCCUGGGGACGCUGCUCAGCCUUGGGCCAUGGGUUAUGGAGGGACAGCUGCGGCUGGGGACCAUCCCUGCUCUGAGGUUAAAGAAAAAAAGAAUUCUGUUGACUUAGUGCACUGACAAAUGUGGUCAGGGCUCAGAGUUGAGGACUGGUUACUAGAAUUGCCUGGCUGUGUUAAGGUUUGUUUUGUUUUUAAAAAUCUUUAAUACCUGCUUUCUGCCUUUAGUCCCUGAAUCCCAGUCAGAGACACUACUUCAAACUUGUCAACCUCCUUAUAUCCCAGACCUACCCGAAACUUUCUUUAGUGUGGCAGUGGUGCCGCUGGUCCCUGGGCAGGAUUGUCAGAGGGUAGAGCCCCAGGAUAUGCGGUGCUCCUAAAAAUGUGCCUAAGACUGAUAUGCGGCCUCCCCUGACUUCCCACAGAGGGCAGGGGGGUCCGUGUGAAGGCAGGUAGUAAUGCUCCCAUUCCCAGAGGUCAGUCUGGUUGGCAAGCCCCAGACCUUUUGGCCAAUCAUAUUCUCCCUCAGUCUUACCAGGUUUUAGGAGAUGGCCUCCUGGAAAUUUAUGAUUUACAGUUACACAUAAAGCAUGGAUCCUGAAACUAUUUCAGACCUAGUGUGACUGGCUUCCUGUAAUGCACUGUUUCCAGAGCCAAUGAAAUCUUGCUGCUUGGGCAUGUCCUCCAAGGUCUAUGACCAAUUUCAGGACUUGGGAUGAUGGUAGAGAAUUACCCAGGAAGGUGGCUCCUGGGUCUGAUGUACUGUCUGCAUUAGCCCACCUUCCCUCAUUCUCCAGGGUCAUCCUGUUCCCAUGCCUUUGGCUGAGAUGGGUCUCUUCACCCUGCUGACCUGUUUGGAAGCCAUCAUGGCCAGAAUCUUCACAGUACUCAAACUGCUGGCUCUUUUAAGAGUCCUAGAUCUGAGCUGGACCUGGUUUGGGGAUAAGCCCCUGGUGCCUACCUGUGUAUUUCUGGUGGCUCCCGUUUGAUCUUGGCACUGGACUCCAUCACUUCCUUUGCAACUCGGCCACUAUAAGUAGUAUAAAUAAAACAAGCAGCAAGAAAUGAGACAGUGUUCCAGGACUGAGCUCCUCUGUAAGAUCUCAGAUACUUGAGCUGAAUUGGGAAGUGGCCUCUUUGGCCUACCCCUUCUCAAUGUUUAGGCCACUGAGUAGGGCUUGCUUGCUGGGGUAAAGAGCUCUAAGGCGUCCUGACAGCUCUCUGUCUCUGAGGUCUUUGGGAUCUUCCAUCCUCAUUUACGAAUGAUUCCUCAUUGUCCAGCGUGUUCCAGAAAUAUUGCAAAAAAAUGAAAUCUUUAGAUAGAAAUGAAAGGAAUCACUCUUACAGUUCUUAUUUUGCUGCUUUUGUAAGGGCAGGAGAAGACACUCAUUUUAACCCCUACAGGCAAACAGCUGCAGGGAAGGAAAGAAAUAGUCAAAGGGUUAGGAGACAGGAGAAUCGGAUGGAAACCUCACACUUCUCUGGAGGUUCCCAGUGUCUUUGUUCUCAGGAUAAGGACCACUGGGCCACCCUUCUCCAGAGAAGGUCUGAAAAUAGGUCCAUAAUGGUUACUUACUGUCACUAUUUACCUGUAUCGGAACCGGCUCCCUUUAAAGAAUAAAUUGCUGCUGGACACUGUGCGGACUUGGCUUGACUUCUCCAGCCUGCAGCAAGGCAAAGUCCAGUGUGAGAGAUGGUCUGCAAUGCCUUACAGCCUAAGGCUGUGUCCCCAGCUCCUUCCAAAGGCUACUUGAAAAAACCCCUCAGGAAAAGGCCUUUCACAGCCCUGCUUGUCUCUGACUCCUUUAGCACCUGAGGGCCGUGUUCACGGUCUCAGUGCUAUGGACAGGCGUGCUGCAAUCCACUUCCACGUUAGGAGAGUGAGGGCUCCCCAAGAGUGCCUCAUGGGUUCACCAUGGGGACUGAGAGAAUAAAUGUUAGGGAAAGAGAAUGCCACCUGCUGAAUCUCAGCCAGGCCACUGGUUAGCAGUGUGACCCUGGGCAAAUUUUUCCUCUCUUAGCCUCAGUCUUGUCUAUAAAAUGGUGGAGCUGGGACUGCUUGACCUCAGGAGUCCCUUCCAGUCCUAGUGUUUGAGAAUUCGUGUCCAUGUCUGGGUAACUUGGGUGGAGAAGAGAGUAGUGCCCUUCCUAUUCCAUCUCCUUCUUGGAGAGAACCUAAAGUAUAUUGUCACAUUAGAGACUCUGAGAAGUCGCGAAAUGAAGAAACUAGCUGAACUUUAAUAAAAGUUCCACCAUUUGUUUGAACUUGGAACCAUUUGCCCUCCCCCAGAAAGCCCAUUAACACCACUUUCAAGGCUGUGAACAGCUGAGGUGGAGACUCUGGAAGCCACCCUUGAGUGACUGCUCUGAUCCCUGUACUCCUCUCACUUAGAAAGGGAAGCAUGGGCAGAGCUGCCCAGAUUGAAUCUCCUAAGACCUGACCCCAUCCACAACACGUCCUGGGUGCCUGUAGUGCUAACCCAGCUGGGAACUGAACUGGUCUGAAGCCUUUGUCCUGAGCGGGCAGUGAAUAUUUAGGGAGUUGUCCCUAUAAUCCAUGAACAGCAGGUGCUGGGGACACCAUCCCCACCUGUCUCAGGGCUCCAUGAGGCUCUGAGCCUACUUACUCUCCUGUCUGAGCACAUUCCUUUUCUUUCUUUCUUUUUUUUUUUUGGUUUAAAAUAUUUAAUACGUGUUAGACACGUAAAGUUAUUUUUUUCUGAGCACCUUCUUGAGCCUGACCGGCUCCCUUCAAAGCACUAGGCCAAAAGCGGGGCAGGGAUCUGCCCAUGACAGACACUCUGAGUGAGGCCGAAGUGGCUCCUGCUAGCGACUUGGCAUAAAUGAGGGUCUGACCCAGGCUAGAGGCUUUUAACACCUAAUUAGUAGUCAUGGAGAACAGUGAAAAGCGGCCUUGCUUUCCAGUGUGGAUGUGGGCAAUCUGUUAAGGAAAGACUCAGAAACUGAGUUUGGUCACAGGCUCAGAAGCACAAUUCUGUUCCCAUGGCUCAGAUGGAAAAACAAAGGAGGGCCUCCAGAAAUGGUGCUGAAAUGUUUUCUCGGCUUUCC